rnacentral:lncRNA from 1 species
GUAAUUUAUCAUUAAAAGGAAGAUAAAAAUUUUUCAAAUUUACAAUUUUUCAGUUCAACCAAAUGGUAACUUUCACCACACAUUUUCAUUCAUGUCUACCUUUGUUCUCUGCAGAGUUGUGACCCCAGCCAGAACCUGACAGAGCUAUGUACAGAAAGCAAUAAAGAGACAACAUGGAUGACCCAGGCAGUGUUCCUUCCCUGAGGACUCAUGAGCUAUGCUGUGCAAAAUGAGGUAUCCCUUCCUUCCUAGCUCUGAGUUUGCUGUUUGACACUACUGCCUCUUAUAAUGUCUGCACACAAGUUUUUAUCUAUCUUCUGAGUGUCUUUAAGCUUCUCCUUUUAGAUUCAGGAAAUUAAUUUCCAAAAAUACCUUAUAAAGUCUAAAUAAUUUUUAAAUUAUUGAUGUUUGAAUGUUUUAGGUGGAAUAAGAUAUGUGUUUUUCACAGAAUAAUUAAGUAUGUAUUUUGACCAACAGUAAACAAUCUCUUUUAGCUUUAUAUAAACAUGAUAAAACUCAAAGCCCUCAAAAUCUGACUCGGAAUAAAAUACAAAAUUAUAUUUAAGGUCA